rnacentral:rRNA from 1 species
AUUGAACGCUGGUGGCAGGCCUAACACAUGCAAGUCGAGCGGAGCGGCGGACGGGUGAGUAAUGCCUGGGAAUCUGCCUGGUAGUGGGGGAUAACGUCCGGAAACGGGCGCUAAUACCGCAUACUCUCAGAUGAGCCUAGGUCGGAUUAGCUAGUUGGUGGGGUAAAGGCCUACCAAGGCGACGAUCCGUAACUGGUCUGAGAGGAUGAUCAGUCACACUGGAAAUGAGACAAGGUCCAGACUCCUACGGGAGGCAGCAUGUGGGAGUAUUGGGCAAUGGGCGAAAGCCUGAUCCAGCCAUGCGGCGUGUGUGAAGAAGGUCUUCGGAUUGUAAAGCACUUUAAGUUGGGAAGCGUUACCAACAGAAUAAGCACCGGCUAACUUCGUGCCAGCAGCCGCGGUAAUAC